ACUAGCGCGAUACUGAAGUGUUGUGUACAUUAUAAACGAUAUAAAACAAACAAAAAUUUACGGAGGAGCUGAGAUUCGGGAUAGGGUUAAACAGUUUACACAACGUAACCGUGGGUCAGGGUUGAUCGCAUCUUGGAGGAAAUCAAUUCUGGAUAUCGCCUCUGCCUAGGUGGAAGAAGCCUGCUUCCUUGAAAUACUGUAGUUUUCGAUUAUCAUGCAUAUGGCAUCCUUUUUCUCUCGAUCUGGCAUCUUAACCUUUGUUGCUCUACCCCUGUCAUGUUUCACCAUAAUUUCCGGAGCUCUGAUAGAGAAUUCCACAGUGCACAUUAUCCUUCCAGAAAAUACCAGUAUUCUGUACUUUGGCGAGUA